GACCCUGAGAUCAUGACCUGAGCCAAAGGCAGCAGUUUAACCCACUGAGCCACCCAGGCGCCCCCACAUUUUAUUUUUUUUAUUAACUUUUCAUUGAAGUACACAAAUCAUAAAGGGGUCCCCCAGGUACCCCUACCAAGGCCAUUUUAAAUACAGAUAAAUAAAUGAAUAGAGUUUUCUCUUGACUGCAUUUUAUUUUAUUGAUGACAUCCUAAAUACAUAUUCUAAUUUUAUAGUUUUUAUUUAACAUAAUUUAAUCUUUCAUAUAUAUGAAAGCUUUUUUAGUUCUCAUUAUAAAAAGUUAUCUACAGAGCUUGUAUACUACUGAGAGCUUGAAAAUAGAAUCUCUGUAAGGGUACUUAAUUUCUUCAAUGUUAUCAUGUAAAUUAAUGUAUUCUUUUCAAAGCUUUGUCUACCAUACUCUCUUUAUUGAUGGAAUCACUUACCUAUGUGCUACAGACAAUGCCUUGGAUACCAUAACACCAUCUGCAUUUCUUAAAAACGUUAGUGAUACUUUUCUGAGAAAUCCUUUGAUGUCGCAAGAACAUUUUUCUCCUUCAAAUGCAGUUGCUGCAGAUUUUCAACAAGUAUUAGGAAAGUAUAUGGUAUGUAACCUCCAACUGUACUCCUUUUUUUUUUUAAGAUUUUAUUUAUUUAUUUGGCAGAAAUUACAAGUAGGCAGAGAGGCAGGCAGAGAAAGAGGGGGACGCAGGCUCCCCGCUGAGCAGAGAGCCCGAUGCAGGGCUCGAUCCCAGGACCCUGAGAUCAUGACCUGAGCCGAAGGUAGAGGCUUCACCCACUGAGCCACCCAGGCACCCCUCCAGCUGUACUCAACAUUGUAUGAAAGCUGACGGAACAGUUUGGAAUUAGGAGAUAAGAGCUGUAAAGAUGAGUGAGAAUUGGGAAUUUCUAUCUUUAUAUAAUGAUAAAGAAUGACAUCCUUGAUAUAUGGAUAAGUGGAUAAAGCAAGAGAGAGAAAGUUUGUAUGGUAUACUAUUAUUUGUUUACCAUUCUUAUUUGCAACCAUUUAAGAAAGAGAGAAUAAAUACAAAUAAGUGUUUUUGUUUGGUUAUAGU
rnacentral:lncRNA from 1 species